UUAAAUGGCCGCAGUAAUUUGACUGUGCAAAGGUAGCAUAAUCAUUAGUUUUUUAAUUAGAAGCUAGAAUGAAUGGUUGGACGAGAUAUAAUCUGUCUUUGGAUAAAAAAUAGAAUUUAAUUUUUAAGUUAAAAAGCUUAAAUAAAAAUAAAAGACGAGAAGACCCUAUAGAUUUUUAUAAUAUUAUUUAUAUUAUAGAUUAAGAUUAUUUUAUUUAUUAUAUUUAAUAUUAUUUUAUUGGGGUAAUAGGGAGAUUAAAUUAAUUCUCUUAAGUAUUUUACAAUAAUGUUUGAUUUAUUUGAUCCUUUAUUAAAGAUUAAAAGAUUAAGUUACCUUAGGGAUAACAGCGUAAUUUUUUUGAAGAGUUCAUAUCGAUAAAAAAGUUUGCGACCUCGAUGUUGGAUUAAAAAUUAUUCUAGGAGUAGAAGUUUAGAAUUUUGGUCUGUUCGACCAUUAAAUUUUUACAUGAUCUGAGUUCAGACCGGUGUAAGCCAGGUCGGUUUCUAUCUUUAUUUAGUGAAUAUAUUUUAGUACGAAAGGACCAAAUAUUUAAUAUAUUAAUAUUUAUUUUUUGAAUAAUAUUAUUACUUUGGCAGAUUAGUGUAAUAAAUUUAGAAUUUAUGUAUGUAAGUAUUUUACAAGUAAUAUUGUUUUAUUUAGAUUUAUUGAUUUCUUUAAUUUGUAUGUUAUUAUUGGUGGUAUGUGUUUUAGUUGGAGUAGCUUUUUUGACUU
rnacentral:rRNA from 1 species